rnacentral:lncRNA from 1 species
UAGUAUCCUUCAAUAGAAUUAAUUAUGAUAGAUCUAUUUGAUGCACUUUAAAAGUUUGAUAGUAUAUUUUCUAAUUAAACAUCGCUUAAUCCUAUACACUGAUUGAUAAGAUAAUUGCCUCGGUCUUCUGUUUGAUGUGCAUUGUUUCUUAUCUUUGUAUAGCUUCCUUCAACAUUUCUCUGUUUUUAGUUGUGUCAGUACUAACUAUUUGUAAGAUAUAUACCUCACCAAGAAGGUUAAGCGGCGUCUGGAAGAUGAUGGCAUAUUUUGUUCCUGCAGUUCAACAGCAGGAUCUUCAGACGUGUGCGGCAGGGAUUGUCUAUGUAGGUAAGGAUGACUAACUAUUUGUAAGAUAUAUACCGCACCAAGAAGGUUAAGCGGAGGCUGGAAGAUGAUGGCAUAUUUUGUUCCUGCAGUUCAACCGCAGGAUCUUCGGACGUGUGCGGCUGGGAUUGUCUG